UACAGAGGUCUCAAGCGUUGUUCGGAUUCAUUGGGCGUAAAGGGUGUGUAGGUGGCGCCGUAAGUCGGGUGUGAAAUUUCGGGAGCUUAACUCCGAAACUGCAUUCGAUAACUGCGGUGCUUGAGGACUGGAGAGGAGACUGGAAUUCAUGGUGUAGCAGUGAAAUGCGUAGAGAUCAUGAGGAAGACCAGUGGCGAAGGCGGGUC
rnacentral:rRNA from 1 species